rnacentral:lncRNA from 1 species
UUAAGUGCAGAAUUUUUUUGCGCGUUAUGAAAACAAUGCACUGCAGGUAUUUUAAUUAAUGCAACGAGCUGUAUGAAAUAUCGGUCAAGGGGUUGGAAACGUCGUUAUAGAGAAUCCCGACGAUUUUUCUUUUGCGUGUGUGUAUUUGGAGUUGAUUCACAGUUUUAUUUGUUUAUUUUGGCUACAUUGCGCCAAUUGCGCUUCCAUAGAAUAAAGAAACGCGCUUCCACGCGCUUGCCGACUCGAUCGCAAGGGGACAGCCUGAUCAACAUCAAUAUCAGCAGCAAUGGCGGAUUUGCGCUUGCCAUGGCGCUUGCAAAGUUUUCAAUAGUUUUCGACUAUUAAGUGAUGCUUUUGCUAUUUUAACGUGUGGAGGUUCAUUGUACGUCUGUUUUUUCAAGUUUGGCAUGUGUUUUAACACAUGUGAAGGUGUAGUCUUUUCUUCUUCAGCGGAUAUUUGUACAAGACCCCGUUCACCGUCUAUCAGCUCUAGCUCGGCAAGAAUAAAGCGGUUCCUUAGAAGUGGUGGAGGUGCUGGGGUUCUGCAUACCAAGGACGUAUAAGGUCACAAAGCUGCACCCAGGUAGAGGCAGAAUCCAAAAAUGCUUGUGUACUUCAACUAUAGCUGCACAUUACAGAAUCCGAGGCCCUCAAGAUUUAUCCGUAGCCCUCGUGUAGCCCACGAGUUCCAUAUUUUUUAUUGGGAUUGAAGAGUAACGUUUGUGCUGUAUCCCUCUAUUUCA